UAGGGAAUCUUCCGCAAUGGGCGAAAGCCUGACGGAGCAACGCCGCGUGAGUGAUGAAGGUCUUCGGAUCGUAAAACUCUGUUAUUAGGGAAGAACAAAUGUGUAAGUAACUAUGCACGUCUUGAUGGUACCUAAUCAGAAAGCAACGGCUAACUACGUGCCAGCAGCCGCGGUAAUACGUAGGUGGCAAGCGUUAUCCGGAAUUAUUGGGCGUAAAGCGCGCGUAGGAGGUUUUUUAUGUCUGAUGUGAAAGCCCACGGCUCAACCGUGGAGGGUCAUUGGAAACUGGACAACUUGAGUGCAGUAGAGGAAAGUGGAAUUCCAUGUGUAGCGGUGAAAUGCGCAGAGAUAUGGAGGAACACCAGUGGCGAAGGCGACUUUCUGGUCUGUAACUGACGCUGAUGUGCGAAAGCGUGGGGAUCAAACAGG
rnacentral:rRNA from 1 species